UACGUAGGGGGCAAGGGUUGUCCGGAAUCAUUGGGCGUAAAGAGCGCGUAGGCGGCCCUGUAAGUCCGCUGUGAAAGUCAAGGGCUCAACCCUUGAAUGCCGGUGGAUACUGCAGGGCUAGAGUCCGGAAGAGGCGAGUGGAAUCCUGGUGUAGCGGUGAAAUGCGCAGAUAUCAGGAGGAACACCGAUGGCGAAGGCGGGUCUCUGGGCCGUAACUGACGCUGAGGAGCGAAAGCGUGGGGAGCGAACAGG
rnacentral:rRNA from 1 species